GCCACCGCCGCGGUAAUACGUAGGUCCCGAGCGUUGCGCGGAGUUACUGGGCGUAAAGCGUCCGCAGCCGGUCGGGUAAGCGGGAUGUCAAAGUCCGCCGCUCAACGGCGGAACGGCAUUCUGAACUGCUCGACUUGAGGCAAGCCCGGGCAGGCGGAAUUCCCGGGGUAGCGGUGAAAUGCGUAGAUCUCGGGAGGAACACCGAAGGGGAAGCCAGCCUGCUGGGGCUGUCCUGACGGUCAGGGACGAAAGCCAGGGGAGCGAACCGGAUUAGAUACCCGGGUAGUCCUGGCCGUAAACCAUGGGCGCUAGGGCUUGUUUCUUUGAAGCAGGCUCGCAGCUAACGCGUUAAGCGCCCCGCCUGGGGAGUACGGGCGCAAGCCUG
rnacentral:rRNA from 1 species